GGCGGCUCUACAGCAACACAGGUUUAUCGAACAAACACCCGCGGAGGAGGACACCAGCUAGCGCCAGAGCCCGCCCCCGCUUACAGACUGGGAUUUCUCUUAUUCACCAUAUCUUCAGUGCCCAGCAUUAUUCCUGGAAUAUUCAAUAAGAUCUGUUUGCAGUGAAGGAUUGUUUGGAUGAAUCAUUGUAUCAGGGCUUCAACCACGUGGGAGGAUCUGGGAACAGCUCCUUGAUUGGCACUUCAAAUAUCCCUCAUCAGCUCCACCAUGGCUUGAAUUCUGCUGAAGAACGCAGGUGUUCCAAGUUGGAGUACUCUGCUACAUUUUACAUAUCUGCUUUUUGAGGAAUAAAUACCAGAAAGAAGUGGCCUACAUAAAUCCAAAUGGCUUUAGACAUUUCAAGUACUGGAAAACAAGAUUAUAACUAUUUAUGAAGAAAUGGAACAUCCUUGCUGAAAUCAUCCUGCAACAAGUUGUGCUUUCAUUUAUAAUUGAA